rnacentral:sRNA from 1 species
AAGCGCAGACGUCCCAUCCUCCUCCCAGGAACGUCUGUCAGAACUGCGACCUCCUCCUCCCAGUCGCCGUUCAUGCAUUCAGAAGCCUGUCGCACCUCCUCCCGCGACGGGCUUCUUUG